rfam:Frankia sp. ETN1f ctg00358, whole genome shotgun sequence.
UUUGGCGUCGGUGUAGCGCUUCGGGUCGUCCCCGAACUCGGCGAGCACCCGGGCAGCGAGGACCGUGCCCCAGGCCGGGCGUGG